GAAAUGCGAUACUUGGUGUGAAUUGCAGAAUCGAGACCAAUCACGUGCGAGCCGGUCAGUUCUGGACCCAUCGACGACCCUUUGCGUGCACGCACGCUCCCAACGAGACCUCAGGUCAGGCGGGGCUACCCGCUGAGUUUAA
rnacentral:misc_RNA from 1 species